UGCAUACAAUGCUCAAUCUCCAUUGUUCUACCCUUUUCCCAAACAUAUCAUUACACAAUCAUUCCCAAAUGUCAAACCCAACUCACAUCUCUCACCAAAAGAUCUUAAGAACUUUAACUCUUUCUUUUUGAAAUCUACAAGGGAUUUUUCUACAACCUCAAAACAUUUCUUAGCUCCUAACAACUUUGCUAGCCCCCUUUUCUUUCUUUUCUUUUUUUUUUUUUUCGAUUUCUUUUUUUUUAUAUUUUUUUUUUUUUUUCGAUUUCUUUUUUUUUAUAUUUUUUUUUUUUUUUCGAUUUCUUUUUUUUUAUAUUUUUUUUUUUUUUUCGAUUUCUUUUUUUUUAUAUUUUUUUUUUUUUUUCGAUUUCUUUUUUUUUAUAUUUUUUUUUUUUUUUAGGUUGGGGGCCAAGACUUUUCAAAACUAGAGCUAGAGGUUCUCUACUUAUCCCAGAAAAUCAAUUCACUUAAGCACAAAGAGUCUAUUCUUUUUCCUUUUUCAUUUCUCCCAAAUCAUAAUCACAACACUCACCCCCACCUAUAGCUAGACAAUAGAGUAUCCAAUCUAGCAAGAAUGAAGAUCAAGCAUUGUCGUUCCCGAUACUCUCAACAUUAUGCACAUGUAAGACUUUCCGAAAAAGGCCUCACUCAUCAAACAAUGAAAGCUUAAAAGGAGGAAAAGGUUUUGGGAGUGGUCUACCACUAGAGUUUGUCAAAAAAAGAUUGGUAUAAAAGAUGUGACAACUCAAGUGUGUAUAGCCAUGACUCAGUACACAAGGGACCAUGAGCAAGAAGCAUUAAGUUCGUUCAGUUCAAAUAAGGUUGUAGUUGGCUUCAAAGACUGAGUUUCAGCAAUCAACAAGUUUCAGGAAGAGUUUUCAAGGCUCGAAACAUACAAGUCUUUUUGAGAGGUGCAAAAGCUACUCAGGUGCAACGUAGUGUUCUUUACAAGACAUUUAAAAUCAUUGCUCCCAAUGCAUGUGAAUGCAACCUAUAUGCUCUAGACUCUCCUAGAAAUGCAAAUGAUGCAAACUAAAUGAUUGAUUUUUUUUUUUUUAUAUGCAAAUAGGUAUGCAAUGCAUGACUCAAUGAAACAACAUCAAAGCAAACAUGAUCAAAUACUUGGUACCUCCCCCAAACUUGAGUUACACAGUCUCUGUGUUGUCAAGUAGAGAGAGAGAUACCGAAAAGAAGACUAAUAUGCAAAAAUAAAAUGGUAUAUACAGGGGAGUGUGAUGGGUUACCUUCUAUGGGGAAUGAGUAGAGGGAGAUGAUCCCUCCUCGUCGUCCUCAGGUGGUAACUCUUCAAGGUGCUCAUCAGCAGGAGUGUCCAUCUCUUCAAUGUAGAAGGCUUGCCCGAACACAGUUGGUUUCCUCAUUUUCCUCUUGAUGUCAAAGUGGAGGAUGUUCUCUUUACCCAAAUGGAGAUCAAUCGUGCCUUCCUUCACAUUAACAAUAGCUCCUGCUGUAGCUAAGAAUGGUCUUCCUAGAAUCAAUGGAUCUUGAGCCUCCUCACCCAUCUCAAGCACCACAAAAUCUGUAGGUAUCUCAUACCUUCCAAUCUUCACAGGGAGGUCCUCUAAGAUGCCCACAGGAUACUUCACUGAACGAUCAGCUAACACCAGAGAGAGUCUACACUUCUUGAACUGGGUGAAUCCAAGCUUCUUUGCAACAGACAAAGGCAUCAAGCUGACACUAGCUCCCAAAUCGCAGAGACUUUUCUCAAAUACCAUAGGUCCAAGAGCACAAGGUAGUGUGAAGCUUCCUGGAUCCUCUAAUUUCUCUGAAGCAUCAAGCCUCUGGAUGAUGGCAUUGCACUCAUGGGUAAGAAUCAUCAUGCCUUCCAUCUCCUUCUUCUUUGCAGCUACAGCAUCUUUCAAGAACUUGCUGUAUUGAGGAAUCAACAUAAAAGCAUCGAUGAUGGGCAUUGCAACCUGAGCUUCACUCAUUUGCUUCUCAAACAGAGCCUUGUAUUUCUCUAGCAGCUGCCUCUUGAAUCUACCAGGGAAUGGUAGUUUGGGUUCAUAGGGAGGAGGAACAAAAGAACUUUCACUUGCUGGAGUAACAACUUCACCAUCUUUUACUGUCUUCUUCUCUUCCCCAACCUUUCCUUUACCUUUGGCUUCUACUAUCUUUUCCAAGAUCUCGUCAUUGAUCUUCUCAUCAACAAUCACCACUUCAUCAUCUAUGUUGAUGGCAACCCCCUCACCUAGUUUCUCAGCAUCCUUGGUGAGGGUUUUAGGAGGUAACUGUUUACCACUCCUAAGGGUGAUAGCUUUGGCCUCCUUGGGGUUUUGGUCAGACUUUCCAGGUAGAGAUCCUUGCUGGCGAUUCUGGUGAGUGUUCAUGGAAGCAAACUGAUUCUCUAAAUUCCUGACUGUAGAAGCAAGGUGAGAGAAUUUGUUGUUGAGCUCAUUGUAGCUCCCAUCAAUCUUGGUAUGAAGGUUCUUCAACUCAUAACCAACAUGCUUCUCACUUCUAGUCUGAGACUCCAAGAUUUGUUUCAGUAAGGUAUCAGUGCUGCUCUCUUGAGGAGCAGAGGAGCCAGACGAGGGGUUUUGCUGAGGCUGAUAGCUGCCUUGCUGGUUGUUUCUAGGCGGAUAACCACUCUGUUGGUUGUUGGGAUAGGAUUUCUGUUGGUAGUUGUUGUACUGAAAGUUGGGCUCCUUUUUGUACCAGCUACCAUUGUUGUUGAUGAAGCACAACUCUUCCUGACCUUCCAAACCCUCAACCUCAUUGACAGCAAGUGGAUCUUCCUGCCUGGAGUUACCAACAAACUUCAGCUGCUCUUGGGUGGCUUUUUCAGCAAUGAGAAGGUCGAUCUUGUCUUCCAAAGCUUUGAUCUCUUUCCUCGUCUGCUUAUCAUCUGUUCUACUGCCUCUGUCGUGGUCUCCACUGUAGACUGCAUCACUCUUUACCAUGUUGUCAACCAGCUCUUCUGCAUCCUCCUCAGUUCUCCCCAAGAAAAACCCAUUGCUAGCUGUAUCCAGUCUAGCUCUGUACUUAGGAAGAGCACCACGGUAGAAUGUGCUCAGCAAGCUCUCCUUAGAAAAGCCAUGGUGUGGGCAUUGAGCUUGGUAGCCCUUGAAUCUCUCCCAGGCUUCACUGAAGCCUUCCAAGUUCUUCUGUUGAAAGCUGGAAAUCUCGUUUCUCAGCUUAGCAGUUCUUGAAGUAGAGAAGAACUUCUCCAAGAAUGCUUUCUUGCAGUCAUCCCAAGUGGUGAUGGAGUCGCUGGGUAGAGACUUCUCCCACUGACGUGCUUUAUCCCCCAAAGAGAAAGGGAAUAGCUUGAGCUUUAAGGCAUCUUCGGACACACCAUUGGUUUUUGACAACCCACAGUAGCUGUCGAACCUGUCCAAGUGAUCAAAUGGAUCCUCUAGAGCCAAGCCAUGAUACUUGUUGUUCUCGAUCACAUUGAGGAGUCCUGAUUUGAUCUCAAAGUUGUUGGCUGCUACAGCUGGUGCUCGGAUUCCCAAUCUAUGACCAUGAAUGUUGGGGCGGUCAUAAGUGCCAAUAGGUCGCGCUGCUCGCUGUUGGUUUUGAGGUAUGUCUCCCAUAUCAGUAUCCAAUCUCUGCAAGUGAGCCUGUUGCUCUUCUUCUCUUCUCUUUCUAGCACACUCUCUCUCUAAAGCUCUGAUAUCUGCAGCUCUUGGAACUAGGUUUGAUGGACCCCUGCUCCUCAAGUGCAUACACUUCAUGAGUGUAAGACCCAUUCCUGGUCUCUCGACCCAACUGGAUACGAAUGCUUACUUAUUAAUUUCUUUGCUUGUCUGAUUCAUUCUAAGUCUUUUCUUUACUAAGUCAUAUUCGAAUAUGAGGUUCAAAGAAGAAUCAGUAACAAAAGAAAAUAAAAAUGACUUAGUCUCAAGCAAGUGACUAAAUCUCAAUGUUUAAAUCUACUCAGAAUUUGGCAACGGCGCCAAUUUGAUGUUAGGAGUUUUCAAGGCUCCUAAGACAAAUGUUGUAGUAUAAAUGAUUGUCGAACCAGUUCUGAGGGAUAUCAAAGCACUGAGAAUGCAAGUACUCACUUAAUCUAAGUGCAACCAAUGAUUUAGAAGGGUUUUAAACUAUGACUAAAACUAGAAAGCAAUAACAGAAUGAUACUUUUUUGACUAAAGGAAAAGAGAACUCAUGGGUAUAGGGAUUAGACCUUGGGUGAUCAAGUAUCGAACUAAGGAUGGCAAAUGAUCAAUCAAACAAUCAACCUUAAGCCUAGACACAAUUCUAAACAAGCUCUAUGUCUAGAUGAAUGCUCAUUUGCUAACAUAUCUCAAACAUCAAAUGUCUUUGGUUGAAUAAUAUGAAAGCAAUCAUUACUAACAAGUCUAUUAGCUAUCUUAGCAUCUUUAACAACAAAUGUCUUUGGCAAAGUAUACUAAAAGCCUAGGAGAGUUGUCUCGGGCAUUUCAUCGAACACCUUUCGGGUGAGAAAUGCCUAAGGAUCAACAACUGAGUGGCCAACUCAGAAGAUGCAUUAUGAUUACUCUACUAGCAAGGAAAUAUGAAUGAUCUACACUAAAACAUCCUAGAACUAACCUAAUCACCCUUAAUCUCCCUAACCCAUGAAUUCAAAAGGUGAUUACUCACUAAUCUCCAUGAUUCCUCUUAAACCCAUAUUGGAUUUCAGAUUAAUCAUGUAGAGAAAUAGAUAAGAAAUCAACAAUAACACAAGAACAUAACAAUCAAAAUCCAAGAGAUUCUUGUGUAUUUCUCAAUAGAUCAAAAGAUAAAAGAUAAUCUGCCACUGGUCGCUACAAAAGAUGUUUAAAACAUAGGUUUAGAAAAUAAAAACGUGCAUAAUGAAAUGACCAAAAUGCCCUUGAGAAAUCACAAGUUCGAGCAGAAACAAAACACGGAGCGACCUCAGCCCGUCGCUCCGACAAGUCGCUCCAGGCUUCGGGAGCGACCUCGCUGUGUCGCUGCGAGAGGUCGCUCCGGGCUCGUUCUGAGCAUCUCCGGGUGAUGAAAACGCGAGCGACUUCUCCCUGUCGCUCUGGUAUGGUCGCUCUGAGCUUCGGGAGCGACUUCAGCACGUCGCUCUGGAAGGUCGCUCCGAGGUGUAAAUGUGUGUCUCCAGACGUGAAAACGCGAGCGACCUUGUGCAGUCGCUCUGGAUGAGUCGCUCCGGGAUGUGGUGCACAGCGACCUCAUGCCGUCGCUCCGAAAGGUCGCUCCGGCUGUGCUCGUCCAAAGAUCACUCUUUUCACCUCUUUUGAGCUCCAAAUAACCUCAUGUGGUACUCCAGUACCUAAUAGAGACUCAUGUAUGCAAAAUGCAACCUAAACAUGUCUGAAUCCUAAUCUAUAUGAUGAAAAUGCUCAUGGAUGAAUGGAUAAAACAAUGCAAAUAUGCAAGAUAUCAACUCCCCCAAACUUGUUCUUUUACUUGUCCACAAGUGAACUUUCUAGAACUCAUAGGAAGAGAGGUUGAAGGUGGGAGCACAUAGCCAAAAGAAACACAACUAGCACACUCUCUUAUUACACUCUAGCUUCUCUAGGCCUAUCUUAACUCUUUUUGUUCUUACACUCAUCAUCAAGCAUCCACACAUUCAAAUCAACCAACUCUCACAUUCAUUAAGCACAAAACAUCAGGUGAAUUCUUGCAAAUGGUCAGUUGGUCCAAGUCAUUUGGUUGGGUAAGGGAAGGCUUUUAUUCAAGUGAUUCAAGAGGUUCAAAACAUAUUAUCUUUAAGGUGGUUUACUCUCAAAACAAGUAGCCUUGACAUUGCACAUAAUAUAUCUAAGAAAGGGACCAACUCAUGCAUACAAUGCUCAAUCUCCAUUGUUCUACCCUUUUCCCAAACAUAUCAUUACACAAUCAUUCCCAAAUGUCAAACCCAACUCACAUCUCUCACCAAAAGAUCUUAAGAACUUUAACUCUUUCUUUUUGAAAUCUACAAGGGAUUUUUCUACAACCUCAAAACAUUUCUUAGCUCCUAACAACUUUGCUAGCCCCCUUUUCUUUUUUUUUUUUUUUUUAGGAAACAGCUAUGACCAUGUUCACUUACCUACUGGGCCCGCGCGCCAAACGAAUGGUCUAGAAAGCUUCUCGAGGGCCGAGGCGGCCUUUUUUUUUUUUUUUUUUUUUUUUUAUAUAUAUUUUUUUUUUUUUAGGUUGGGGGCCAAGACUUUUCAAAACUAGAGCUAGAGGUUCUCUACUUAUCCCAGAAAAUCAAUUCACUUAAGCACAAAGAGUCUAUCCUUUUUAUUUUUCAUUUCUCCCAAAUCAUGAUCACAACACUCACCCUCCCACCUAUAGCUAGACAAAAGAGUGUCCAAUCUAGCAAAAAUGAAGAUCAAGCAUUGUCGUUCCCGAUACUCUCAACAUUAUGCGCAUGUAAGACUUUCCGAAGAAGGCCUCACUCAUCAAACAAUGAAAGCUUAAAAGGAAGGAAAG
rnacentral:lncRNA from 1 species